CCUUAUCUGACAAUUGCGCCAUUUUAACCAUUGUUUUAGGUUUCUUAAAGAAGCAAUUUUUAUGUCGCCAUUUUAAUCGCAAUCUUUUGUUACAGUUUUAACUCGAUUUAAUCGCGACAAAUUAAGUUUAUUUAAUCAACUUUAUAGUGCCAAUGAUGGACCAAACUAUAUUUUAUCAAAUGCUUCAAUCUCUAAAUUAUUAAUUGUCCUGGUAACAAUUUUUAACAAGCCUUUCAAUUAAGGUCAAGGAACAACAAUUGAAGUAAAGAAUCACAUUACUAACUUUCUGUUGAAAACAAACUCUCCCUUUCUCUUUUUCGGUGUAAUCAACAUGAUUAUCAUGCUGAAGAACCAAAACUUACCCGUAAGCUUUCCUGGAAUUCCAUUGUUGAUCAAAUAUUAUGUUGAUGGCAACACUAAAGACAAAUUGAAAGGACGAGGAAAACGGAAAGGUUAAAAAUAUGCAGCUUUAAUGUCGUAAAUUAUUGAAUUGCUUGUUAUUUCAGCGUUGAAAAGGAAAGAUUGGUCUUGCAAUGAUUCACCUGUUAUUUGACUUGUUGCUUAUUGUCAUUAUUGUCGGCACUGUUAUUCGUAUUUCUGAUUGAAAAGACCGUUAUUGAGACGAGACUGGAGUUAAUACGAAGUGACUUUCAACUUUGAUCAUUAACGUCGUAUUCUUGGUAAUUGACACUAAAGACUGUGAUUUUAUUUUCCACCAAUAAUGCAAGGUUACACUGCUUGGUUAAUGACCAACUAUUCACCAAUCAGAUGGAAUUUUCCGGCACAAAUUGAUUUGAUUUAUUUGUUCGGGCAUUUGAUGGCUGAUUUGCUGAAAAAUUGAGUCAUGACAAUGAAAACCAAGCUUAAGACAACUGACUUUGGAUUUUUGUCAAACUGAUCGCCUUCAUAUGCAUCGUCAAGUUAUCCUGCCUCUCCGUUCUGGUCUAUCAGCUGAUUUCAGUAAAAGUUUUCAUUUUUUGAAACAUUAUUGUUGUAUUGAUGAAAUUGUUUCCAUCAAUAUAGCAAGUUAUCACCGAUAAAUGUUGGAUUUCUUAAGAGCGCAACGGUCGAUGUUGAACAAACUUUCACCUACAAUUAGAAAUGACAAGCACAAAUGUGUGGAUGACAGGUUUAAUAUUUGUUUUUCAAUACAACGACUUGCCGCUCAAAAACAAUGAGAUCACCAGCAGUAAUCCGUCAACUUUUACUUUCAAAGUGCUGCAAGCAAAAGCCAAAGAUAAAUAUUGCAGUAAACAUGAAACAUUGAAAUAUCCGGAUAUAACGGGACGAUGUUGGUUAAUCCACCGGAACGAGAGAUUUUUCAAUGAAAUGUUAAAGAUGAUAAUGAUAGUGAUGGCGACGAUGUAAAGAGAAGCAAUUGCAAUGAUGCAAAACUUGCCGAACAAGAUGCUUGACAUAAAUUUAUCAACAUUUCACAAGCAAUCAGACUCUAAAGGUUAUCCUGUGAACUUUUAAUAUUACCCGUUGAAUCAAUCUAUUACCCAGUUUUCAGGGGGAAGAAAGGUUUACCUGGUCCAGGAUCCACAAAAGCACCAACAAACCACAACUAUUAUGGUUAAUGAUAACAAUGAUGGUUAUAAUAAAGGCUGGCUCUUAAUUGAGGAAAUAAUUUUGCUAAAGAUCAACAAGGCAUUUAGAGUGAAAAUCAUUGGAAAAAAGCUAUUCAACUUUAUUAAAUAUCAAUGAAACACUUGAUUUGAUAGUAAAGGAGAGAAAAAAAGUGACACCAGGAUAACUCAUUGAGAGAGGUGAAUUUAAAUUCAACGGAGAACAGUUAAUUGUUGAUGAACUCGGGUAACAAAUAAGAUGAAACAGUUACAUCGUUUACCAAGACAAUUUAUCAUGAGUGACUUCCGAAGGCAUUGGCUUCUUAACGUUUACAUCUCAUAACUUCAUGGACUGAUGGCUUUAAGUAAGGUUAAAACUGUUAAUGAAAUUAACUGGAAUCAUGAUGAAAAUUGGAAAUGUAUCUUGUCAAUUCAUCAAAAGAACAGAGAAAAUCAAAGGAAAUGAAAUGUUAAAUUGUGGUUAAAUGGUAUUCAUAAUGAUCCAAGAAUAAUCUCAAUAUUGUACUUUUAUUUUAUGGCCUAACUUAACCAUCCUAACACGAUUGGAUUUCAUUCAAAAGCCAAUGUCAAUGAUUUCUGGAUUGGCAUCUUCAUACUUCCAUGUUAUGCUUGGUUGGAUUGAUCAUCUUUUGUGAAAUGAUCUUCGUUUGAUCAUUUUCAAUUGAUUUGGCCUGAAAAAGAAGAGAAAAGUUUAAAAUGGUAAACUGAAAGAGCUAAAAUAGGAACCAUUUGCAAAUCGGAAAAGGGCCACUUAUUUAGCCCGAUUCCGAUUAAAUUGUUUCCAAAUUGUUCUUCAAUUGUUUGAUCAUUUUUCUCAUCCAUUUGUUUCCGUACAACCAUUCACAUCCAAAUAAACAUUGAGACGACACAAUUAUACCUGUUGAUGAUUAUCAUUGCUGAUCCUGUUAAUCAUUCACCACUAAACCUUUAAAUUUGGCAACAAAAUGAUUUACCUGUUAACUUACUUCCAUCAUGAUCUAGGCUAAACAAAAUGACCCUCUAAACCUGUGAUAUUAGGCAAACCAAUUGAAGCAAAAAGCGCUGUUUUCCUCUUAAUACCAACAAAUGUCACUGAAAGAGUCACAAAUUAAAUUACAAAUCAUAUUGAAAAUGCAGCUCAACGGGAUAACACAAAAUUGUUUGUUAUUAAUUUAAAAAAAGAUUCCAAAGUUUCCUCAAUUAAUCACUUACUGUUAACCUUUAUUGUUGUGCUUAAACACAAUCAGCAUUUGCAAAUGAAAAUCCUGUUGACAAUCACCAGUAAAAUACAAUUAAAUCAAGUAACUAUGUUAA